GUGAGGAAUCUUCCACAAUGGGCGAAAGCCUGAUGGAGCAACGCCGCGUGAAGGAUGAAGGUCUUCGGAUUGUAAACUUCUUUUAUGAGUGAAGAAUAUGACGGUAACUCAUGAAUAAGCACCGGCUAACUACGUGCCAGCAGCCGCGGUCAUACGUAGGGUGCAAGCAUUAUCCGGAGUAACUGGGCGUAAAGAGUUGCGUAGGCGGUUAUGUAAGCGAAUAGUGAAACCUGGUGGCUCAACCACACAGACUAUUAUUCGAACUGCAUAACUCGAGAAUGGUAGAGGUAACUGGAAUUUCUUGUGUAGGAGUGAAAUCCGUAGAUAUAAGAAGGAACACCAAUGGCGUAGGCAGGUUACUGGGCCAUUUCUGACGCUAAGGCACGAAAGCGUGGGGAGCGAACCGGAUUAGAAACCCUAGUAGUCC
rnacentral:rRNA from 1 species